UUUUGUGCUACUAAGGAACAUAUAUAUAUGAUGCUUAUGAAUAAUAUCUUUCUAUAUUCUGUUUUUCCAUUCGCGUGUCUCUAUGUUCGUGAAAAUGCACAUAUAUGUAUAUAUAUUUUGUUUGUAUGUAUAGUUAACGAUCAUGUUCGAACACGUAACAUGGAAAGGCUCCUCUUCGUUACCUCUUAUCUCUCCUUCGUUCUUUAAUCAACUAUCUUUCUCUCUCUCUCUUUCUCUCUAAUCGUAGAGUUCAUCAACGUCGAUUGACCUUUUCUCGAAGCGCAUCUUCUUCGAUCGCAAAUCAGGAAGCAAAUGACGAGGAAAAGUUAUUUAGUUUAGUAUCCAACGAGACGUAUACAUAGUUACUAUCCAUAAUCGGCAUUAAACUGGGAGCAGCAGAAGCAGCAGCAGCAGCAGCAGCAGCAGCAGCAAGAUGAGGUGUGAAAAAAAAAA